rnacentral:rRNA from 1 species
ACAGAGGGUGCAAACGUUGUUCGGAAUUACUGGGCGUAAAGCGUGUGUAGGCUGCCAAGCAAGUCGGAUGUGAAAGCCCCGGGCUCAACCCGGGAAGUGCACCCGAAACUGCAUGGCUUGAGUAUCGGAGAGGUUGGUGGAAUUCUCGGUGUAGAGGUGAAAUUCGUAGAUAUCGAGAGGAACACCGGUGGCGAAGGCGGCCAACUGGACGAAUACUGACGCUGAGACACGAAAGCGUGGGGAGCAAACAGGAUUAGAUACCCUGGUAGUCCACGCCGUAAACGAUGGGUGCUAGGUGUCACGGGCAUUGACUCCCGUGGUGCCGUAGCUAACGCAUUAAGCACCCCGCCUGGGAAGUACGGCCGCAAGGCUA